UUUCAAUACAGAACUAUGAUUCGUUCAACGAGAUACCAUGCUUGUUACACGACGAGUUUUCAUUCGUUCUGCGCAUAUUACUCUGAUGCGCAUAAACGGAUAACUCUGAUUGGCUCAAGCAUGCUUUGUCUGCGCAAGCGCAUGGUGGUACUGCGCAGCAUACUCAGUGGUCUCAUAUUCAGUAACUCGUCGACCUCCGUCGUUAUUACUUGUAUCUCCUAAUAUAUAUAUUUGUGCCCACCGUGUAUAUAACCACGCAGUGCCAUGAAGUUAGGAGUACGUGUAGAGGGUCUCCCUGAGCUGCGUGAAACAGCGAAUCUGGAGGAAAAUCACUGAAGAACCAGCCUAGUGCAAGUGAAAUUCGUACGAGAGACUAUCGAGAAUAUUUCUGAAUAAAUAGCCGCGAGUUUCCUACGCCAAUCUUACGGAAAUAGCCGACUUCUGACGGACGGAAUCGAAGUAGUAGCUGAGCGGGUGAGUAAGCUAGAGGUACGGAGUCAUUUCGGUGGAGGUGCAUUGUUACGCUCUCACGGAGUUCUGCGUGGCAUCCGAGCAGGUCGUCGGAGACGAAGAUAAUGGACUUGGUGCCUGCAGCGUUCAUUUGACUCGGCAAGAAUUUAACUCAAAACGCUAACUGGUCGGUACACACCUCUUUUCUGCAUUCUAACGUUCCACGCGAUCGUCCUCGUGCAUCUGCAUACGCGUCUCGAUGCGCCCGAGUAUCGAGCCUACUCCUACAGAGAAAGAGAUGUGUCACUGCUAACAGGCUGUUGAAAAUUGAACAGGAAGCGAAGAACAUUUCAGCCGAAAAUGGAUUUAAUCUUAAAUCUGCGUUGACACGAGCUGACAACUUGACAAGGAUGGAACAAGGUUUCUCAGGAAAUGCAUAAUUCAACGACGGUGCGAUGUAACGCAUUUGUAAUUACUUUCCUCUCUGACGCCCACGAAAAUUAUUCAUUGAUCGCGUUUGCGUGUCAUCGUGAAUUAUUUUUAAGUCACUUGCAUGUGACACGUUUCCUUUUUUUUCUCGAUUAAAAAAUUCUUGUGCUAUUACGUAAAGUUUAGAUGGGAAUAAAAUGAAUCUUGUCUAUAAUUACCAUAAUUAGGUUUUUAAUCCAUUGUACGUUAUUCUCUGCAUUGCAAUUUUUUAACUACAUUUCGUGUGCCUAUUAUUAUGCAUCCGUUCGUCGUAUUGAAAUGUUUUCUUUUUAAAUACAUUAAGUGCAUCCAGUUGGGGAACGUCCAGGAAAUUCUAUCGCGAAAUUUACCAUCGCGAUAUCUCUCUUCGUCUUUGUUCAACUUCUUUUUCACCGAGUACAUCGUUAAAUUUACGCAACUUUCUUUUCUGGUACGAGCGCUGAAACGAUCCACUCAGAUGGAUCGUAGUAAUUAGGCGCUUUUAAGUCUGAUUUUUUCACCAUUCAUUCCCAACCUUCGCGUUCGCCUAAGACGUUCCCUCGGCGUAAUGCUAAGUUAAUCGUCGAUUCACCGUUUAUACCUAUGAAAUCAGGGAAACGUGACUUCAAUGCAUGCUCGAAAUUCUCUUUUCCUCUGUAAACGUUUACUAGAGUUCGCGUUUUAUGGAGAGCCGUCGGAACAAAUCGUCGAACGGAACGUAAGAUUAGAAUCCUGUGCACGAUUCGAUCUUAAAUCUCAAGUUUAUCGUUUUGCCUUGUUAGAAAGGGAAAUACUUACCGGUGAGAAUAUGGUUCAAAGCAAAAAAGGGUAAACGUUCCCAUUAGUCACCAAUCGUUUAUUUUAUUAUAUUGAAAGUGGUAGAUAAACGAACACUAUUACUAUUUCUUUUCUUUUUAUAUAGAUUAUUACCUUAUUAAACUUUGAUUUUCUUAGUAUUGAGCCCCUCAAUUUCGUUGAGCACAAAAAUCUGCUUACUAAUAAAUUGCAAUUAACGCAUGAUUGUCCAUAAGAAAAUAAUCUCCCUUUUCUGUUUUAUGUCGUCUCCUUUCGGACUUUAUUUCUUUUAAUCGAGAAUUUAUGUCAGGAUAACUUGCAGCGGUUGAAUAAUUCGAGACAAGCCGCAAGCUUGCCCCUCUCAAUACUGGAUUUCGAGAUCUUCUGUCGAAACCAAACGAGAAAACUUAACAAGGAAUUCUGUAGCUUUCAGAAGCACUGCCUGUGGUACGGAAUAAAUACGUCUUCUCGUUUUGACAUCGAUAUUCUCGAUAUCAGGAAAAGAAGGUAUAGGGUGACGCAAAAGUCGUGAAAGGGUUUGAGAAAUCAAUAAACUUCUUUAACCCUGAAUCAUUUUUAUUUUCCUACUCUACGCUUAUGUGGUUCGUGACUUUGUCUUUUAAUAUAAGAAUAUUAUAAUUCAAUUGGAAAUACUUUUCUGGUAAUAGUUAACUUAAAUUUAGUCACAAUUCAAACUCAUUGAUAAGCAUUUUAUAAUUUAUAGUUUAAAUAAAUGUUAAAUGUUUAAAGUCGAUAAUUGGAGGGGUACGAAUAAUUCAACAACUCAUUGUAUAUGUUUCAAACGCUAGAAAUUGUUAAAAUUGAAAUGGGGUAGUACUUCCCUUGUAAGUUACUCUCACGAGGCUAGAAAUCCUCGUUAAAUUGGUCUGCCUGUUAGACGCGAGGUGUAUUCAUGCAUUCGAAAUGAAACGACGAACGCAUUUUCCGAGUUAUAUCAAUUAGGAUAUCAAUUGCCUGACUAGAUUUUCCUUUUUAAGGUUCGAGGAUAAACUCUUCUACUGUACGUCCUUGCGACUCCAUUCGCCGCGCCGGCAUACGAAUGCUUCUGAAUUUGAGAAUCGUUUUGCUCUCGAAUAAUGCAAAUUGUUCCUUAAACUUCUUUUUAUAUACAGUUCUUUUCAAUUUUCUUCAAACAUAUUAUAUGUCGGUAUUCGAGAGAUUCGAUAUCAAAGUAAUCGAUUCACCGAUCGUUGACUCGCACUACUGUACCCGCAACGCAUCUUACGAGGAGAACUUCCCAAGUAUUACGCUCACUAAUUAAUGAAACUUUGCCAUCUUCACCUUGAACUCGUUGAGCUGAACACGUCUAUGUUUCUUUUUUCAGCAGACGGCUAAUUGUUUAAAAGAUAUUAACAAUUCAAAUUAGUUAAUAUAUAUAUUCUGAAAUACAAAACACUCCUAUAAAAACGAUUACUUUUGCGAUUGAACAGAUAACUGGAAAUCAAAAGAUUUACAGUUAAAAUCCCGGGAUCCUAUUCUUUUCUUCUUUCUUUUUCUUUUAAUAAUACUUUGUUUCUUUUUAACAUCUAUUACAGCUACGCUACAGUCGUUACGUUUAUUAAUAAUACAU